rnacentral:tRNA from 1 species
CCUGGUGGCUCAGAGUUUAAAGCGUCUGCCUGCAACGCGGGAGACCCAGGUUCUAUCCCUGGGUCAGGA